CUUCCAAUGGAUGAGGGAGGGUUUAAAACAGGGGUGUAGCACAAGAUCCUGGGCCCUAUGCAUAGGCAGUCCUGAUGAGCCCCCAUGUUCCUCAAACCCCCCUUUUUGAGGGCUUUUUGACUGGGGAGGGGCUCACGGCAGCACCCGCUGCUCGUUGAGCACAGUAAUUGUAGAAUGAUACAUGCUUUCACGAGUCUGUCAUGGUGCUGUCUGUUUCCCUCUCCCUUUUUUUUGUUGUCUGUCAUGUGCUGAGUGGGUGUGGUGCUCCUGGCUCUCUCUCCCUCCUCGUCAAGACACCUGUGGCUUCCUGUCACCUGAUUCACAUCCAGCAAUCACCACUCCUGUUAUAAACCCCAGCCUUCCAACCAGUCUCUGCCAGAUCGUCCGUUCACCCAAGUGAUUUCCACUACCGCCCUGGAAGCCCAGUCUGCCUAUCUGAGCCUUGUUCUUUUCCCGAUCCUGCCUCUCACCUGUCUGCCCGCUCUCAGCCCCAGGGGAUAUCCAGCACCUGCAUCACUCAUUUGUUUUUUGUUCAAUAAACCUCAAUACCUGUUCUGA